CAAUAGCGUAUAUUAAAGUUGUUGCAGUUAAAAAGCUCGUAGUUGGAGUUCAGAGUGAGCUCGUCCGGUCGGCCUUAUGGGUCAGAACUGGUUGACUCUCUCUUGUUUGUGGAUCCUGUCAGCAGUUAACUCUGUUGAUGUGGAGUCCACAUCGUUUACCUUGAAAAAAUUAGAGUGUUCAAAGCAGGCGUUUGCUUGAAUAUAUUAGCAUGGAAUAAUGGAAUAGGACGCUGGUUCUAUUUUGUUGGUUUUGAGAACCAGAGUAAUGAUUAAUAGGGACAGUUGGGGGCAUUCAUAUUUCAUUGUCAGAGGUGAAAUUCUUGGAUUCGCUCAAGACUAACUUAUGCGAAAGCAUUCACCAAGGAGGUCUUCUUUAAUCAAGAACGAAAGUUGGGGGAUCGAAGAUGAUUAGAUACC
rnacentral:rRNA from 1 species